GCCAGACUCCUACGGGAGGCAGCGGUGGGGAAUAUUGCACAAUGGGGGAAACCCUGAUGCAGCGACGCCGCGUGAGUGAAGAAGUAUUUCGGUAUGUAAAGCUCUAUCAGCAGGGAAGAAAAUGACGGUACCUGACUAAGAAGCCCCGGCUAACUACGUGCCAGCAGCCGCGGUAAUACGUAGGGGGCAAGCGUUAUCCGGAUUUACUGGGUGUAAAGGGAGCGUAGACGGUGAUGCAAGUCAGAAGUGAAAGCCCGGGGCUCAACUCCGGGACUGCUUUUGAAACUGUGUAACUGGAGUGCAGGAGAGGUAAGCGGAAUUCCUGGUGUAGCGGUGAAAUGCGUAGAUAUCAGGAGGAACACCAGUGGCGAAGGCGGCUUACUGGACUGUAACUGACGUUGAGGCUCGAAAGCGUGGGGAGCAAACAGGAUUAGAUACCCUUGUA
rnacentral:rRNA from 1 species